rnacentral:rRNA from 1 species
GACGAACGCUGGCGGCGUGCCUAAUACAUGCAAGUCGAACGCUUCUUUCCUCCCGAGUGCUUGCACUCAAUUGGAAAGAGGAGUGGCGGACGGGUGAGUAACACGUGGGUAACCUACCCAUCAGAGGGGGAUAACACUUGUAAACAGGUGCUAAUACCGCAUAACAGUUUAUGCCGCAUGGCAUAAGAGUGAAAGGCGCUUUCGGGUGUCGCUUAUGGAUGGACCCGCGGUGCAUUAGCUGGUUGGUGAGGUAACGGCUCACCAAGGCCACGAUGCAUAGCCGACCUGAGAGGGUGAUCGGCCAAACUGGGACUGAGACACGGCCCAGACUCCGACGGGAGGCAGCAGUAGGGAAUCUUCGGCAAUGGACGAAAGUCUGACCGAGCAACGCCGCGUGAGUGAAGAAGGUUUUCGGAUCGUAAAACUCUGUUGUUAGAGAAGAACAAGGACGUUAGUAACUGAACGUCCCCUGACGGUAUCUAACCAGAAAGCCACGGCUAACUACGUG